rnacentral:miRNA from 1 species
UGCUUCGCCCUCUCCAUCAU